rnacentral:rRNA from 1 species
AGUGAGCGCUGGCGGUAGGCCUAACACGUGCAAGUCGAACGGCAGCACAGUAAGAGCUUGCUCUUACGGGUGGCGAGUGGCGGACGGGUGAGGAAUACAUCGGAAUCUACUUUUUCGUGGGGGAUAACGUAGGGAAACUUACGCUAAUACCGCAUACGACCUACGGGUGAAAGCAGGGGAUCUUCGGACCUUGCGCGAUUGAAUGAGCCGAUGUCGGAUUAGCUAGUUGGCGGGGUAAAGGCCCACCAAGGCGACGAUCCGUAGCUGGUCUGAGAGGAUGAUCAGCCACACUGGAACUGAGACACGGUCCAGACUCCUACGGGAGGCAGCAGUGGGGAAUAUUGGACAAUGGGCGCAAGCCUGAUCCAGCCAUACCGCGUGGGUGAAGAAGGCCUUCGGGUUGUAAAGCCCUUUUGUUGGGAAAGAAAAGCAGCAGGUUAAUACCCCGCUGUUCCGACGGUACCCAAAGAAUAAGCACCGGCUAACUUCGUG